rnacentral:tRNA from 1 species
AAAAAAGUGGCAGAACGGUUAUGUGGUUGGCUUGAAACCAACAUACGGGGGUUCAAUUCCCUCCUUUUUGG